AUCCCUUGGUUUGACUUGCACUCUUCCCCCGCCAUCAGUUGUCUAGUCAUUAUGGCGGAAUGUAAAAAGUCUAUCUCAUGUCCCUCUCCAGCUUCAGUAAUGACCUCUCUAGCUAGAGCUUUGUCCCAUUCAAGGUUGAGUCAACCUGAUCAGUCUGUGUUCAAGUCGCAUACUUCUGUUUACCGGAGCAAUGUGGUACAGCCAGGCCGACGGAGGAGGUUGUCGAGCAGCAACAGUGUUGAGUCUCUGGAUGUGAGCCCCUGUGCUGAAGCGCGAGUCUUGGUCAUCAACACCGGAGGAACAAUCGGGAUGAUGUACCAUAAUAACGUGCUGUGCCCAGAGCCUAAUGUGUUUGUGAAGGCCCUGCGAAAGCUUCCCAACCUCCAUGAUGAGCAGUAUGCCCUGCAGACCCGUAUGUACGACUACUACAGCACGAGUGACCCACAGGAGAACACCCUUGUCCUGCCGAUGCCGACCGACCUCGCUGAUGAACUAUCAAAAAGGCUGUGUAAACAAAAUAAGAGGAUAGUGUACACUGUUUUAGAGUACAGCCCCUUGCUGGACUCUUGCAAUAUGACCACAGAUGAUUGGGCUACAAUUGGGAAGGACAUUGAGAAACACUAUGAGAAGUAUGACGGUUUUGUCAUUCUCCACGGCACGGACACCAUGGCCUACACAGCAUCCGCUCUGUCCUUCAUGUGUGAGCAUCUGGGGAAGCCUGUCAUCCUCACCGGCUCCCAGGUGCCGAUCUAUGAGAUGAGGAACGAUGGAAGAGACAACCUGUUGGGGGCGCUGCUGAUCGCUGGUCAUUUUGUCAUUCCUGAGGUUUGUUUGUAUUUCCACCACAAGCUGUACCGGGGGAACCGUGUAACCAAGGUGGAUUCUGGGAGUUUCAAUGCCUUCAAUUCUCCUAACUUGGCUCCUCUGGCCAUUGCUGAAGUGGAUAUUAAAAUUAACUGGGACACGGUGUGGCGAGUGAACACAACCACACGGUUCAGAGUGAGCACUCUGAUGAACCGUAAUGUGGGUCUGCUGAGACUCUUCCCAGGCAUCACUGCAGUGACCGUGAAGUCCUUCCUGCAGGCGCCCAUGGAGGGCAUUGUCCUGGAGACGUAUGGUAGUGGAAACGCCCCUGAUAACUGUGCUGACCUGCUUGAGGAGUUCCGAAAUGCCACAGAGAGGGGCGUGAUCAUGGUCAACUGCACCCAGUGUCUGAGGGGUUCUGUCACCACAUCGUACGCCACUGGAAAGGCCUUGAGUGACGCAGGACUGGUGGCAGGCUGUGACAUGACUCCUGAGGCUGCCCUGUGCAAGCUGUCCUACGUGCUGGCCAGGACGGACCUCAGCAUAGAGGCCAAAAGAAAGAUGCUGAGUCAGAACCUGCGGGGAGAGAUGAUGGCUGACCUGCAGGGGGCCAAGCUCACUCUGAGUGACAGUCGCUUCAUCCAGGUCAUCGCCAAGUCCCUGAGCAUCAGCUGUAAGGAGGAGAUAGAAGCCGUCCGGGAUGCUCUGACACCCACCUUAGCUUGUGCCGCUUCUAAGAUAGGAGACUUGGAGGCCUUGGAUGCCAUAAAGGAGAUGGGCAGUAACUUAAGUCUGGGGGACUAUGAUGGUCGUACCCCUCUGCACAUCGCUUCCUGUGAGGGCCACCUCAAUGUGGUGCAGUAUCUACUGAGCCAGGGUGCCACUGUCUACGCCAAAGAUCGCUAUGGGGACACACCCCUGCGCAAUGCUGUGCGCUUCAGACACAAAGAGGUGGUGAAGCUGCUGAGAAAGACUGGAGCUCAUUUCUCCAGGGAUGAGUUGGAGGAUGCCGGCUCAGAGCUGUGCAGUUUGGCAGCCAGUGCUGACAUCAAGGGCCUGGAGAUGUGGCACCUGGCCGGGGGAGACCUGGACACGCCAGGCUACGACGGGCAGACGCCGAUGGAGGUGAUGCACAAUUGAGAGCAUCCUGUUGGACUGUAUAUCACCACCUGGUACGGCAACUGCACCGCCCGCAACCGCAGGGCUCUCCAGAGGGUGGUGCGGUCUGCCCAAUGCAUUACCGUUAAGUACCUGACCUCCAGGACACCCACAGCACCCGAUAUCACAGGAAGGCCAAAACGAUCAUCAAGGACAACAACCACCCGAGCCAGUGCCUGUUCAUCCAGAAGUUGAGGCUAAGGCUGUGGGGAAUGAAGUUGUGAUUGACUUCAUACACCAGGUCAGCCAGUCCCACGCCCAGAAUGAAGAAUACAUUGAGUUCUCAGCCUGUCCAAAAGAAUCCUGAAGACGAAGAUCCUCAACUCUUUUACCUCUCCAUCCAUCCCCAUCACUCUCCCUCUCUCUUUCCAUUUCACUCUCUUACACUGGACAUUUGCACAAGCUUGCAGAUUUUAUUUAGAUUCAUCCAAACCAUUUUACAAUUGAUAUGUUUGCGAUAAUCUCAUUUACUGUUGCUUAACUGUAGUUGUAAAAGCACUAGUAGCACAACAUUGGAUGUCAAGUGAUAUGGAUGCACUGUGCCUAGAACGGGCAGCACUAUAUCUGUUUGUUUUGUAUGUACCACAGUAUAUGAUGCAUGUGGAGCAAUUCACCCGGUUUGCAUUAAGAGUAUUAUCAGUGAUCAUUGGAAGCACAGGGUAGAAUGCUGUACUUUAUGCUAGGCACUUGAUGGGUAGAAUGCUGUGCCUUUAGAUGUACUUGAUGAAAUGCUUAGUAUUGAGUGCAAUUUAUUCUAAACUGAAAUCCUUGUGAAAUCCUUCUAAACUGAAAUCAUGGGCUGAUGACACAAAAAUAGAACCGUUUGCCCAUAAUGACCAUCGUUAUGUUUGGAGGAAAAAGGGUGAUGCUUGCAAGCCGAAGAACACCAUCCCAACCGCGAAGCACGCGGGUGGCAGCAUCAGGU